CCUACGGGGGGCAGCAGUGGGGAAUAUUGGGCAAUGGGCGCAAGCCUGACCCAGCAACGCCGCGUGAAGGAAGAAGGCUUUCGGGUUGUAAACUUCUUUUGACAGGGAAGAGUAGAAGACGGUACCUGUCGACUAAGCCACGGCUAACUACGUGCCAGCAGCCGCGGUAAUACGUAGGUGGCAAGCGUUGUCCGGAUUUACUGGGUGUAAAGGGCGUGUAGCCGGGUUGACAAGUCAGAUGUGAAAUCCUGCGGCUUAACCGCAGAACUGCAUUUGAAACUGUUAAUCUUGAGUACUGGAGAGGCAGACGGAAUUCCUGGUGUAGCGGUGAAAUGCGUAGAUAUUAGGAAGAACACCAGUGGCGAAGGCAGUCUGCUGGACAGCAACUGACGGUGAGGCGCGAAAGCGUGGGGAGCAAACAGGAUUAGAUACCCCAGUAGUC
rnacentral:rRNA from 1 species